rnacentral:tRNA from 1 species
AUUUCAUUAGUAAAAUUAAUUAUAUUAUCUUGAUAAGGUAAAGUUCUUUUGAUGAGAUAUUAA